GAUGUCCAGUGAUGAUUUAUUACCUACAUUGUUUGAAAACCUGAUGUAAACAAAACAUUCUGAGGACAUU